AUCAUAUGCUUGGUUCUUAAAAUUAGUAUCUGUUUCAUCUUCUUUUGGUUUUCAGAAUCAGACCUCUCUUUGUUUUUUAAGAACAAUGAAAUUAUUCAACACGUACUUCACAUAUUAGUCAAGAUGUUGCCACAUAUUCAACAUGUCCCUCGCGUAUUGGUCA